rnacentral:rRNA from 1 species
GAUGAACGCUGGCGGCGUGUUUAAGGCAUGCAAGUCGAACGGUUCCGAUUUAUCGGAACAGUGGCAAACGGGUGAGUAACACAUUGGUAACCUGCCUCAAAGUUCGGGACAACUUUUCGAAAGGAAAGCUAAUACCGGAUGUGCUGUAACUUCAUAAGUUGUUAUAGUAAAGUCCCGAUUUAUCGGGACGCUUUGAGAGGGGCCUAUGGUCUAUCAGCUUGUUGGUACGGUAACGGCGUACCAAGGCUAUGACGGAUAGCGGGGGUGAGAGCGCGACCCGCCUCAAUGGGACUGAGACACUGCCCAUACUCCUACGGGAGGCUGCAGUCAAGAAUCUUCCUCAAUGGACGAAAGUCUGAAGGAGCGACGCCGCGUGGUGGAUUGAAGGCCUUAGGGUCGUAAACAUCUUUUCUGUGGGACGAAUCAAUGACGGUACCACAGGAAUAAGGGGCUGCUAAUCACGUGCCAGCAGCAGCGGUAAUACGUGAGCCCCAAGCGUUAUCCGGAUUUAUUGGGCGUAAAGAGUCUGUAGGCGGUUUGAUAAGUUUUUCGUCAAAUCCAAUUGCUUAACGAUUGGACUGCGAAAAAAACUAUUAAACUAGAGGAUGGUAGAGGUAGAUGGAAUUGCCGGUGUAGCGGUAAAAUGCGUUAAUAUCGGUAAGAACACCAAAUGCGAAGGCUUUCUACUGGAACAUUCCUGACGCUGAGAGACGAAAGCGUGGGUAGCGAAUGGGAUUAGAUACCCCAGUAGUCCACGCCGUAAACGAUGGAUGCUUGACAUUGGCAGUUUCGACCCUGUCAGUGUCGUUUAACCAAGCUAACGCAUUAAGCAUCCCGCCUGGGUAGUACGAGCGCAAGCUUAAAACUCAAAGGAAUUGACGG